rnacentral:rRNA from 1 species
AUGCCCGAAAGGGUGACGAAGCGACGCCGCGUGUGGGAAGAAGGCCUUCGGGUUGUAAACCACUGUCGGGAGUUAAGAAAUGUAGGGAUGUCAAUAGCAUUCUUGCUUGACUAAGGCUCGGAGGAAGCCACGCUAACUCUGUGCCAGCAGCCGCGGUAAUACAGAGGCGGCAAGCGUUGUUCGGAAUUAUUGGGCGUAAAGAGCACGUAGGCGGCCAUGUAAGUCGGUUGUGAACCUUCCGCUUAACGGAAGAAUGGCGGCCGAAACUGCAUAGCUUGAGUGCGGUAGGGGAGAGUGGAACUUCUGGUGGAGCGGUGAAAUGCGUAGAUAUCAGCAGGAACGCCGGCGGCGAAAGCGGCUCUCUGGCCCAUAACUGACGCUGAGUGUGGAAAGCUAGGGGAGCAAACGGGAUUAGAUACCCCGGUAGUCCUAGCCGUAAACGAUGGGGCCCUAAGUAAAGGGUUUUUA